CGAAAGGGUGACAAUGCGACGCCGCGUGUGUGAUGAAGGUCUUCGGAUCGUAAAACACUGUCGGCCGGGAGGAAUCUCUGGAGGCUUAACAAGUCUGCAGGGUGACAGUACCGGCAAAGGAAGCCACGGCUAACUCCGUGCCAGCAGCCGCGGUAAUACGGAGGUGGCAAGCGUUGUUCGGAAUUAUUGGGCGUAAAGAGCACGUAGGCGGUUCUGCAAGUCGGCUGUGAAAGCCUUCCGCUCAACGGAAGAACAGCAGUUGAUACUACAGGACUAGAGUGCGGGAGGGGAGAGUGGAACUUCUGGUGGAGCGGUGAAAUGCGUAGAUAUCAGAAGGAACGCCGGCGGCGAAAGCGACUCUCUGGCCCGUAACUGACGCUGAGUGUGCGAAAGCUAGGGGAGCAAACGGGAUUAGAUACCCCGGUAGUCCUAGCCGU
rnacentral:rRNA from 1 species